UGGGGAAUCUUCCACAAUGGACGAAAGUCUGAUGGAGCAACGCCGCGUGAGUGAAGAAGGGUUUCGGCUCGUAAAGCUCUGUUGUCGGGGACGAAUGUGCAGUAUUUGAAUAAAGUACUGCAAUGACGGUACCUGACGAGGAAGCCACGGCUAACUACGUGCCAGCAGCCGCGGUAAUACGUAGGUGGCAAGCGUUGUCCGGAAUUAUUGGGCGUAAAGGGAGCGCAGGCGGGAAGGUAAGUCGGUCUUAAAAGUGCGGGGCUCAACCCCGUGAUGGGAUCGAAACUAUCUUUCUUGAGUGCAGGAGAGGAAAGUGGAAUUCCUAGUGUAGCGGUGAAAUGCGUAGAUAUUAGGAGGAACACCAGCGGCGAAGGCGACUUUCUGGACUGUAACUGACGCUGAGGCUCGAAAGCCAGGGGAGCGAACGGGA
rnacentral:rRNA from 1 species